UUGAAAUGCUGGUUCUCGUAUGAUCACCAAAGUUAAGCAAUGUCAAGCCUGGUCUGUACUGAGAUGAAUGACUGCUUGGGAAUACCCAGUGCUGUAAG